rnacentral:rRNA from 1 species
UACGGAGGAGGCAAGCGUUAUCCGGAAUUAUUGGGCGUAAAGCGUCCGUAGGUGGUUCACCAAGUCUGCUGUCAAAGGGUGCGGCUUAACCUCAUAAAGGCAGUGGAAACUGGUGAGCUAGAGUGCGGUAGGGGUAAGGGGAAUUCCCAGUGUAGCGGUGAAAUGCGUAGAGAUUGGGAAGAACAUCGGUGGCGAAAGCGCCUUACUGGGCCUUCACUGACACUGAGGGCCGAAAGCUAGGGGAGCGAAAGGG